rnacentral:misc_RNA from 1 species
GAUGAAGAACGUAGCGAAAUGCGAUACGUAAUGUGAAUUGCAAAUUCAGUGAAUCAUCGAGUCUUUGAACGCACAUUGCGCCCCCUGGUAUUCCGGGGGGCAUGCCUGUCCGAGCGUCAUUGCUGCCCUCAAGCACGGCUUGUGUGUUGGGCCCCGUCCUCCGAUUCCGGGGGACGGGCCCGAAAGGCAGCGGCGGCACCGCGUCCGGUCCUCGAGCGUAUGGGGCUUUGUCACCCGCUCUGUAGGCCCGGCCGGCGCUUGCCGAUCAACCCAAGUUUUUAUCCAGGUUGACCUCGGAUCAGGUAGGGAUACCCGCUGAACUUAAGCAUAUCAAUAAGCGGAGGA